AGAGUUUGAUUCUGGCUCAGAACGAACGCUGGCGGCAGGCUUAACACAUGCAAGUCGAACGAUAUAGUGGCAGACGGGUGAGUAACGCGUGGAAACGUGCCUUUCACUACGGAAUAGCUCCGGGAAACUGGAAUUAAUACCGUAUACGCCCUCCGGGGGAAAGAUUUAUCGGUGAAAGAUCGGUCCGCGUUAGAUUAGAUAGUUGGUGGGGUAAUGGCCUACCAAGUCUACGAUCUAUAGCUGGUCUGAGAGGAUGAUCAGCCACACUGGGACUGAGACACGGCCCAGACUCCUACGGGAGGCAGCAGUGGGGAAUCUUGCACAAUGGGCGAAAGCCUGAUGCAGCCAUGCCGCGUGAAUGAUGAAGGCCUUAGGGUUGUAAAAUUCUUUCGCUAGGGACGAUAAUGACGGUACCUAGUAAAGAAGCCCCGGCUAACUUCGUGCCAGCAGCCGCGGUAAUACGAAGGGGGCUAGCGUUGUUCGGAAUUACUGGGCGUAAAGCGCGCGUAGGCGGACUAACAAGUUGGAUGUGAAAUCCCAGGGCUCAACUCUGGAACUGCAUUCAAAACUGUUAGUCUAGAGGCCAGGAGAGGUCAGUGGAAUACCGAGUGUAGAGGUGAAAUUCGUAGAUAUUCGGUGGAACACCAGUGGCGAAGGCGACUGACUGGACUGGUACUGACGCUGAGGUGCGAAAGUGUGGGGAGCAAACAGGAUUAGAUACCCUGGUAGUCCACACCGUAAACGAUGAAUGCUAGUUGUCUGCAUGCAUGCAUGUAGGUGACGCAGCUAACGCAUUAAGCAUUCCGCCUGGGGAGUACGGCCGCAAGGUUAAAACUCAAAGAAAUUGACGGGGGCCCGCACAAGCGGUGGAGCAUGUGGUUUAAUUCGAAGCAACGCGCAGAACCUUACCCACGUUUGACAUGCCCUGUUUGAUCGAUGGAGACAUCUUUCUUGGUUCGUCCGCAGGUGCACAGGUGCUGCAUGGCUGUCGUCAGCUCGUGUCGUGAGAUGUUGGGUUAAGUCCCGCAACGAGCGCAACCCUCACCCUUAGUUGCCAGCAGGUUAGGCUGGGCACUCUAAGGGAACUGCCGGUGGCAAGCCGGAGGAAGGUGGGGAUGACGUCAAGUCCUCAUGGCCCUUACGCGUGGGGCUACACACGUGCUACAAUGGUAGUGACAAUGGGAUAAUCCCAAAAAACUAUCUCAGUUCGGAUUGUCGUCUGCAACUCGACGGCAUGAAGUUGGAAUCGCUAGUAAUCGUGGAUCAGCAUGCCACGGUGAAUACGUUCCCGGGCCUUGUACACACCGCCCGUCACAUCAUGGGAGUUGGUUCUACCCGAAGACUGUGUGCUAACUUCGGAGGCAGCAGGCCACGGUAGGAUCAGUGACUGGGAUGAAGUCGUAACAAGGUAGCCGUAGGGGAACCUGCGGCUG
rnacentral:rRNA from 1 species